rnacentral:rRNA from 1 species
GACGAACGCUGGCGGCGUGCUUAACACAUGCAAGUCGAACGGAAAGGCCCCCAUCUUGGUGGGGGUGCUCGAGUGGCGAACGGGUGAGUAACACGUGGGUGAUCUGCCCUGUACUUCGGGAUAAGCUUGGGAAACUGGGUCUAAUACCGGAUAGGACCAUGGUUUAGUGUCUCAUGGUGGAAAGAUUAUUGUUUUGGUGCAGGGUGAGCUCGCGGCCUAUCAGCUUGUUGGUGGGGUAAUGGCCUACCAAGGCGUCGACGGGUAGCCGGCCUGAGAGGGUGGCCGGCCACAUUGGGACUGAGAUACGGCCCAGACUCCUACGGGAGGCAGCAGUGGGGAAUAUUGCACAAUGGGCGCAAGCCUGAUGCAGCGACGCCGCGUGGGGGAUGACGGCCUUCGGGUUGUAAACUCCUUUCGUUAGGGACGAAGCCGCACUUUUUUUGGGUGUGGUGACGGUACCUUUGUUAAGAAGCACCGGCUAACUACGUG